CACGCUAAAGAGCAAUGGAACAAUGGGGUUAGCUUCGAGGGCUUGCAAAAUUUAAUACAUGGAUAUUAAAAAGAAACAAGUCUUUUUGCAAAACUUAGUAUGCUAAGUUAUACCUUAGCAUGUGAUAGGCUUUAUCUUGUGGAGAGUUGUCUCAUUGACAACCAUACCCCAUCUUCUUUUUUUUAUAUUUAUGAUUUGCUGGUAGGCUUAUGUGAUUGUUUCUAAAUUUAGAAGACUGACCACGUAAUAAUUGCUAAAAA
rnacentral:lncRNA from 1 species